rnacentral:rRNA from 1 species
ACCCUUCGGUUCGGAAUAACUCAGGGAAACUUGAGCUAAUACCGGAUACGCCCUUUUGGGGAAAGGUUUACUGCCGAAGGAUCGGCCCGCGUCUGAUUAGCUUGUUGGUGGGGUAACGGCCUACCAAGGCGACGAUCAGUAGCUGGUCUGAGAGGAUGAUCAGCCACACUGGGACUGAGACACGGCCCAGACUCCUACGGGAGGCAGCAGUGGGGAAUAUUGGACAAUGGGCGCAAGCCUGAUCCAGCCAUGCCGCGUGAGUGAUGAAGGCCUUAGGGUUGUAAAGCUCUUUUGUCCGGGACGAUAAUGACGGUACCGGAAGAAUAAGCCCCGGCUAACUUCGUGCCAGCAGCCGCGGUAAUACGAAGGGGGCUAGCGUUGCUCGGAAUCACUGGGCGUAAAGGGCGCGUAGGCGGCCGAUUAAGUCGGGGGUGAAAGCCUGUGGCUCAACCACAGAAUUGCCUUCGAUACUGGUUGGCUUGAGACCGGAAGAGGACAGCGGAACUGCGAGU